rnacentral:rRNA from 1 species
AAGCAUAUCAAUAAGCGGAGGAAAAGAAACCAACAGGGAUUGCCCUAGUAACGGCGAGUGAAGCGGCAACAGCUCAAAUUUGAAAUCUGGCUCUCGGGCCCGAGUUGUAAUUUGUAGAGGAUACUUUUGAUGCGGUGCCUUCCGAGUUCCCUGGAACGGGACGCCAUAGAGGGUGAGAGCCCCGUCUGGUUGGAUGCCAAAUCUCUGUAAAGUUCCUUCAACGAGUCGAGUAGUUUGGGAAUGCUGCUCUAAAUGGGAGGUAUAUGUCUUCUAAAGCUAAAUACCGGCCAGAGACCGAUAGCGCACAAGUAGAGUGAUCGAAAGAUGAAAAGCACUUUGAAAAGAGAGUUAAAAAGUACGUGAAAUUGUUGAAAGGGAAGCGUUUAUGACCAGACUUGGGCUUGGUUAAUCAUCUGGGGUUCUCCCCAGUGCACUUUUCCAGUCCAGGCCAGCAUCAGUUUUCCCCGGGGGAUAAAGGCGGCGGGAAUGUGGCUCUCUUCGGGGAGUGUUAUAGCCCACCGUGUAAUACCCUGGGGGGGACUGAGGUUCGCGCAUCUGCAAGGAUGCUGGCGUA